rnacentral:rRNA from 1 species
AGAGUUUGAUCAUGGCUCAGAACGAACGGUGGCGGCGUGGAUAAGACAUGCAAGUCGAACGGAAUUCACAACGUAGCAAUACUGUGUGUGUUUAGUGGCGCAAGGGAGCGUAACACGUGGGUAACCUGCCCGAGAACGCGGAAUAGCCCGGCGAAAGCCGGAUUAAUGCCGCAUGUGGCUACCAGAGACAUCUCUGGGAUGCUAAAGAUGGAGUAAUCUAUCGAUCUCGGAUGGGCCCGCGGCCUAUCAGCUAGUUGGUGAGGUAAAGGCUCACCAAGGCUAUGACGGGUAGCUGGUCUGAGAGGACGACCAGCCUCACUGGAACUGAGACACGGUCCAGACACCUACGGGUGGCAGCAGUCGAGAAUUUUUCUCAAUGGGCGCAAGCCUGAAGGAGCGACGCCGCGUGGAGGAUGACGGUCUUCGGAUUGUAAACUCCUGUCAUUUGGGAACAAAAAUUUCGUUUAACUGACGAAAGACUGAUAGUACCAGAAGAGGAAGAGACGGCUAACUCUGUGCCAGCAGCCGCGGUAAUACAGAGGUCUCAACCGUUGUUCGGAUUCAUUGGGCGUAAAGGGUGCGUAGGUGGUCGCGUAAGUCGGAUGUGAAAUCCCGGGGCUCAACCCCGGAACUGCAUUCGAUACUGCGUGGCUAGGGUGCUGGAGAGGAGACUGGAAUUUACGGUGUAGCAGUGAAAUGCGUAGAUAUCGUAAGGAAGACCAGUGGCGAAGGC